CAUAGCAAUCGUCAGGCUUCAGUUUUGUACUGACCACUCCAAGGCUUGUUCAACCUGGUGAAUCUUUCCUUCAUCUGCAUCAUUUUUCGCUUCAGUCUGUACAUCCUCGCCCUCCGCCCGCCGAUCCUAUUCUCCGCCGCCCGCCUUCCUCUGCUCCUCCUCUGCCACCGCCGAUCUCAUCUGAGCCAGUACAGAAUAUUGCCACUCAUCAACAUCUGCAGCAUCUAAGUGAAGUGAUUAUGUGGAUCUUGUGAGGAAAACAGAUAGGCCAAGAAGCCUGGGAGGUUGUCUACAGUCACUGGCCUGGUAUGUGACCUGCUUGCAUCUUUUCCUGAUUACCUCACAACUGCAGUUGUCUACGUUUUAUAUUAACCAUCGUUUUAUCAAUUUAAUUCACGAGUUUGUUUCUCGAAUUUACAUGUAUGCGUUGAUGACAUGAAAACUGAACAUAUAUUUGUUUGACACUGAGUUCUGCUGAACAUGUAAGUAUAGCCGGGAGAGUCAUGUAUUCGCUCGAUGCCAUAGCUCACCAACCCCGAGCUGUUGCCACUGUCGAAGACACCUUAAUAUUAAACAAUAAGUAUUAUAUUCAUCUAGAGAGUUUCCUCACUAUGUGGUGUUAAUUUUGAUCCAUAUGAUUUCUCGCACAAAGA